rnacentral:rRNA from 1 species
CCAGAUAAACUACGAAUUCCAGAUAUCCAUACACGGGAGUCAGACUGCGAGUGAUAAGAUCCGUAGUCGAAAGGGAAACAGCCCAGAUCACCAGUUAAGGUCCCCAAAUCUAUGCUAAGUGGAAAAGGAUGUGGAGUUGCGUAGACAACUAGGACGUUGGCUCAGAAGCAGCCAUCAUUCAAAGAGUGCGUAAUAGCUCACUAGUCGAGUGGCGCUGCGCCGAAAAUUUACCGGGGCUAAGCAUAGUACCGAAACUGUGGAUGUGUUUUAAAGAGCACGUGGUAGGAGAGCGUUCUAAGGGCGGAGAAGUUGAAUCGAGAGGAUCAAUGGAGCGCUUAGAAGUGAGAAUGCCGGUAUGAGUAGCGAAAGAUAGGUGAGAAUCCUAUCCGCCGAAAGACUAAGGUUUCCUGGGGCAGGCUCGUCCGCCCAGGGUAAGUCGGGACCUAAGGCAAGGCCGAGAGGCGUAGUCGAUGGAUAACAGGUAGAGAUUCCUGUACUGUGUCAAAUCGUUAAGAGCGAAGGAGGGACGCAGGAGGUGAAGCACGCAUCGCGAUGGAACGAUGUUCAAGCAACAAGUGCGGUUAAGAGUCAAAUGCUUCUAACCAGCAACACGAGUUGUGAAGAGGAGUGAAUUAAAAGUAGCGAAGGUGUGGUAAUCACACUGCCAAGAA